UGCCAGCCGCCGCGGUAAUACGGAGGGUGCAAGCGUUAAUCGGAAUUACUGGGCGUAAAGCGCGCGUAGGCGGUUUUGUAAGUCGGAUGUGAAAGCCCAGGGCUCAACCCUGGAAUUGCAUUCGAUACUGCAUAACUAGAGUAUGGUAGAGGGAAGUGGAAUUUCCGGUGUAGCGGUGAAAGGCGUAGAUAUCGGAAGGAACACCAGUGGCGAUGGCGAAUUCCUGGGCCGAUACUGAAGCUGAGGUGCGAAAGCGUGGGUAGAAAACAGGAUUAGAUA
rnacentral:rRNA from 1 species